UACGUAGGGGGCAAGCGUUGUCCGGAUUUAUUGGGCGUAAAGAGCUCGUAGGCGGUUUGGUAAGUCGGAUGUGAAAUCUCCAGGCUCAACCUGGAGGGGUCAUUCGAUACUGCCAUGACUAGAGUUCGGUAGGGGAGUGUGGAAUUCCCGGUGUAGCGGUGAAAUGCGCAGAUAUCGGGAGGAACACCAGUGGCGAAGGCGGCACUCUGGGCCGGAACUGACGCUGAGAAGCGAAAGCGUGGGUAGCAAACAGG
rnacentral:rRNA from 1 species